rnacentral:rRNA from 1 species
AUUGAACGCUGGCGGCAGGCCUAACACAUGCAAGUCGAACGAGGGGCGGACGGGUGAGUAAUGUCUGGGAAACUGCCCGAUGGAGGGGGAUAACCACGGUAAACGGUAGCUAAUACCGCAUACCAUCGGAUGUGCCCAGAUGGGAUUAGCGAGUAGGUGGGGUAAAGGCUCACCUAGGCGACGAUCUCUAGCUGGUCUGAGAGGAUGACCGGCCACACUGGAACGGAGACACGGUCCAGACUCCUACGGUAGGCAGCAGGGGGGAAUAUUGCACAAUGGGCGAAAGCCUGAUGCAGCCAUGCCGCGGGUGUGAAGAAGGCCUUCGGGUUGUAAAGUACUUUCAGCGGGGAGGCGUUACCCGCAGAAGAAGCACCGGCUAACUCCGUGCCAGCAGCCGCGGUAAUAC